rnacentral:snRNA from 1 species
AGCUUUGCACAGUAGCAGUAUUGUAGCCAAUGAGAUUUAUCCGAGGAGCAAUUAUUGCUAAUUGAAAAGACAUAUAAGACAUUGAGUUAAAACACUGAAAAAAUUAUCUGAAAUAUUGAUUUGGAGUAAAGCAAAAUUUGGAUCACUCACAAAGU